rnacentral:snRNA from 1 species
GUGCUCGCUUCCAGCAGGACAUAUACUAAAAUUGGAGAGAUACAGAGAUUAGCAUGGCCCCUAUGCAAGGAUGACAUGCAAAUUCGUGAAGUAUUCCAUAUUUUU